AAGGAGCAUCUGCGAAUCAGCUUGCUGGUUCGGAGGCCACGCGGUCGGCGAACGAUCGAUCGGUGGAGCUCAAUAUUGUGGAUGCUGGCUAUAUGCAUGAUCAUGGAUUGCUCGGGGAGUUAGUACUGCUGCUUGCAGCGUGGAAGGGUCUUCGAGGGGUUUGUGUGAGUGUUCGGUACGCUGUUGGGUCCUGAGAGAACACGUGAGUGUCUUUCAGUGAUCGGGCUCUUCUAGCCCACGAACCGGCUGGUCAGUGUGACCGGGUAGGCGUGGUGCGGAUACGGGAGGGCGUCGGCUUGUUCUUUGAGAACUGCACAGUGGAUGCGAGCAUCUUUGU
rnacentral:misc_RNA from 1 species